rnacentral:rRNA from 1 species
UGGGGAAUCUUGCGCAAUGGGCGAAAGCCUGACGCAGCGACGCCGCGUGCGGGAAGAAGGCCUUCGGGUUGUAAACCGCUUUCAGGAGGGACGAAGCCACUCGGGUUAAUAGCCCAGAGGGUGACGGUACCUCCAGAAGAAGCCCCGGCUAACUCCGUGCCAGCAGCCGCGGUAAUACGUAGGUCGCAAGCGUUGUCCGGAUUUACUGGGCGUAAAGAGCGCGCAGGCGGCUGGUCAAGUCCGAUGUGAAAUCUCCCGGCUCAACUGGGAAACUGCAUCGGAAACUGAUCGGCUUGAAGGUGGGAGAGGGUAGUGGAAUUCCCGGUGUAGUGGUGAAAUGCGUAGAUAUCGGGAGGAACACCAGUGGCGAAGGCGACUACCUGGCCCAUUCUUGACGCUGAGGCGCGAAAGCUAGGGGAGCGAA